rnacentral:rRNA from 1 species
GGACUACCAGGGUUUCUAAUCCUGUUUGCUACCCACGCUUUCGCGUCUCAGCGUCAGUAUCCGGCCAGAUGGCCGCCUUCGCCACCGGUGUUCCUCCCCAUAUCUACGAAUUUCACCUCUACUUGGGGAAUUCCGCCAUCCUCUCCGGUACUCAAGCCACGCAGUUUCGGGCGCACUUCCUCGGUUGAGCCGAGGGCUUUCACACCCGACUUGCGUAGCCGCCUACACGCGCUUUACGCCCAAUAAUUCCGAACAACGCUUGCACCCUCUGUAUUACCGCGGCUGCUGGCAC